rnacentral:lncRNA from 1 species
UCUCUUUCCUCUAACUUUCCCUUGUUUCUCUUUUACUUGCUGCUUGUCUUUGUGUGUUGCAGAGAAGUGAAGAAGAGUAGAGGGAUCGAAGCUCCAGGCGCCAGAGGAAUCAGAGAGGAGACGCCAGAGGAAUCGAGUCCAGCGGGGAGGAGUCCAGCGGGGCAGUGUCCAGUCCAGCGCAGCGGAGUCCUCCAGUGCAGCGGGGUCGAGGCUGCUAGGCCAGCGGAGUCGUGAAUCCUCUGCCGAUCAAAGAAUUCGCUCCGAGCAGGGAAGUCGCCCCGAGCAGAGGAAGAUCAAGUGCUUGAGCACGAGUGGGGGAGACAGGAGGUUCGGGAACCAAGUGGUGUAACCCUGGCUAGGCGAAGAUACCCAACACAUUGAUUUCCGGUGAAGCAAACAUGCACCAACGUCAUAGGCAGUGCCGACUUCAGUCAACAAUAGAUCGACUAAAAUUGACAGAUCUGAUUGUCUGAACAAGAAGAAAGAAGAUAAAUUCAUAAGUACAUAAAUCAGAGGUGAAAUAUCAUCACAUCAAGAUACCCUGUUAAUCGAAGAAACACAUGUAAAUGUAAUAAUCAGUGCUGACUUACGAGGACUCAGUUUUGACAAAAAAUAAAUCUAGAUACAGUUAAGGAAUAUUUUUAGUUAGAUAGUCAAUGAU